AUUGAACGCUGGCGGCAGGCCUAACACAUGCAAGUCGAGCGGAUGAAGGGAGCUUGCGCCUGGAUUCAGCGGCGGACGGGUGAGUAAUGCCUAGUAAUCUGCCUGGUAGUGGGGGAUAACUUCCGGAAACGGGCGCUAAUACCGCAUACGUCCUGAGGGAGAAAGUGGGGGAUCUUCGGACCUCCCGCUCUCAGCUGAGCCUAGGUCGGAUUAGCUAGUUGGUGGGGUAAAGGCCUACCAAGGCGACGAUCCGUAACUGGUCUGAGAGGAUGAUCAGUCACACUGGAAAUGAGACACGGUCCAGACUACUAAGGGAGGCAGCAGUGGGGAAUAUUGGACAAUGGGCGAAAGCCUGAUCCAGACAUGCCGCGUGUGUGAAGAAGGUCUUCGGAUUGUAAAGCACUUUAAGUUGGGAGGAAGGGCAGUAAGUUAAUACCUUGCUGUUUUGAAGUUACCAACAGAAUAAGCACCGGCUAACUUCGUG
rnacentral:rRNA from 1 species